AUUGAACGCUGGCGGCAUGCUUUACACAUGCAAGUCGAGCGGCAGCGCGGGGGCAACCCUGGCGGCGAGCGGCGAACGGGUGAGUAAUGCAUCGGAACGUACCCUGGAGUGGGGGAUAACGCCGCGAAAGCGGCGCUAAUACCGCAUAUGCUCUGAGGAGGAAAGUGGGGGACCGCAAAGGCCUCACGCUCUGGGAGCGGCCGAUGUCCGAUUAGCUAGUUGGUGGGGUAAAGGCUUACCAAGGCGACGAUCGGUAGCUGGUCUGAGAGGAUGAUCAGCCACACUGGGACUGAGACACGGCCCAGACUCCUACGGAGGCAGCAGUGGGGAAUUUUGGACAAUGGGGGCAACCCUGAUCCAGCCAUGCCGCGUGAGUGAAGAAGGCC
rnacentral:rRNA from 1 species